rnacentral:rRNA from 1 species
AUUGAACGCUGGCGGCAGGCUUAACACAUGCAAGUCGAGCGGGGAAGGGUAGCUUGCUACCUAACCUAGCGGCGGACGGGUGAGUAAUGCUUAGGAAUCUGCCAUUUAGUGGGGGACAACAUUCCGAAAGGAAUGCUAAUACCGCAUACGUCCUACGGGAGAAAGCAGGGGAUCUUCGGACCUUGCGCUAAAUGAUGAGCCUAAGUCGGAUUAGCUAGUUGGUGGGGUAAAGGCCUACCAAGGCGACGAUCUGUAGCGGGUCUGAGAGGAUGAUCCGCCACACUGGGAAUGAGAAACGGCCCAGACUCCUACGGGAGGUAGCAGUGGGGAAUAUUGGACAAUGGGCGGAAGCCUGAUCCAGCCAUGCCGCGUGUGUGAAGAAAGCCUUAUGGUUGUAAAGCACUUUAAGCGAGGAGGAGGCUACUUAGAUUAAUACUCUAGGAUAGUGGACGUUACUCGCAGAAUAAGCACCGGCUAACUCUGUGCCAGCCGCCGCGGUAA